rnacentral:rRNA from 1 species
GACGAACGCUGGCGGCGUGCUUAACACAUGCAAGUCGAACGGAAAGGCCCUGCUUUUGUGGGGUGCUCGAGUGGCGAACGGGUGAGUAACACGUGAGUAACCUGCCCUUGACUUUGGGAUAACUUCAGGAAACUGGGGCUAAUACCGGAUAGGAGCCCCUGCUGCAUGGUGGGGGUUGGAAAGUUUCGGCGGUUGGGGAUGGACUCGCGGCUUAUCAGCUUGUUGGUGGGGUAGUGGCUUACCAAGGCUUUGACGGGUAGCCGGCCUGAGAGGGUGACCGGCCACAUUGGGGCUAGGAUGCGGCCCAGACUCCUACGGGAGACAGCAGUGGGGAAUAUUGCACAAUGGGCGGAAGCCUGAUGCAGCAACGCCGCGUGCGGGAUGACGGCCUUCGGGUUGUAAACCGCUUUCGCCUGUGACGAAGCGUGAGUGACGGUAAUGGGUAAAGAAGCACCGGCUAACUACGUG